rnacentral:rRNA from 1 species
AUUGAACGCUAGCGGGAUGCCUUACACAUGCAAGUCGAACGGCAGCACGGACUUCGGUCUGGUGGCGAGUGGCGAACGGGUGAGUAAUGUAUCGGAACGUGCCCAGUAGCGGGGGAUAACUACUCGAAAGAGUAGCUAAUACCGCAUACGCCCUACGGGGGAAAGGGGGGGAUCGCAAGACCUCUCACUAUUGGAGCGGCCGAUAUCGGAUUAGCUAGUUGGUGGGGUAAAGGCCCACCAAGGCGACGAUCCGUAGCUGGUUUGAGAGGACGACCAGCCACACUGGGACUGAGACACGGCCCAGACUCCUACGGGAGGCAGCAGUGGGGAAUUUUGGACAAUGGGGGCAACCCUGAUCCAGCCAUCCCGCGUGUGCGAUGAAGGCCUUCGGGUUGUAAAGCACUUUUGGCAGGAAAGAAAUCGCACGGGCUAAUACCUCGUGUGGAUGACGGCACCUGCAGAAUAAGCACCGGCUAACUACGUGCCAGCAGCCGCGGUAA